UUGCGGAUUGGUAAAAGAUCUAACUAUUUUAGCACAUAUUUCUGUAAAAAACAAAACA
rnacentral:tRNA from 1 species